AGUCGAGCGAAGUCUUCGGGCUUAGCGGCGGACGGGUGAGUAACGCGUGGGAACGUACCCAUUCCUGCGGAAUAGGCCCUGGAAACGGGGUUUAAUACCGCAUACGCCCUUCGGGGGAAAGAAUUUCGGGGAUGGAUCGGCCCGCGUUGGAUUAGGUAGAUGGUGGGGUAAUGGCCUACCAAGCCGACGAUCCAUAGCUGGUUUUAGAGGAUGAUCAGCCACACUGGGACUGAGACACGGUCCAGACUCCUACGGGAGGCAGCAGUGGGGAAUCUUAGACAAUGGGGGCAACCCUGAUCUAGCCAUGCCGCGUGUGUGAUGAAGGUCUUAGGAUCGUAAAGCACUUUCGCCGGGGAAGAUAAUGACG
rnacentral:rRNA from 1 species